rnacentral:rRNA from 1 species
CCUACGGGGGGCAGCAGUGAGGAAUAUUGGUCAAUGGGCUUACGCCUGAACCAGCCAAGUCGCGUGAGGGAAGACUGCCCUAUGGGCUGUAAACCCCUUUUGUCAGGGAGCAACGCCGGCUACGUGUAGCCGGACUGAGAGUACCUGAAGAAAAAGCAUCGGCUAACUCCGUGCCAGCAGCCGCGGUAAUACGGAGGAUGCGAGCGUUAAUCGGAUUUAUUGGGUUUACAGGGUGCGUAGGCGGGCUGUUAAGUCAGCGGUGAAAGCCCGGGGCUCAACCCCGGCCCCGCGUUGGAAACUGGCAGUCUCGAGUGGGAGAGAGGAAUGCGGAAUGCGCGGUGUAGCGGUGAAAUGCACAGAUAUCGCGCAGAACACCGAUUGCGAAGGCAGCAGGCCGGCUCCACACUGACGCUGAGGCACGAAAGCGUGGGUAUCGAACAGGAUUAGAUACCCGAGUAGUC